UAUCGAGUUCUUCUCUUUGAGUUUUCAUCGUCAUGCACUCGAAAGAGAGCAUGACAAUUUGUUCAUCUAGUUACAAGUGUACACUAUACACGCUCGUACAGAGUCGUAUUUUAUUAUCGUCGGUUACGAUACACGGAUUUGUAAGGAUCGAGCGUUCCACUUGACAUUUCUAUUUUUUCCCCGGUACGAGUUGCGGAGGCGGUAAUUGUUUGCUGGGCACGCUUAAUGUGGAACAUCGUUGCGAAAGUUAUACCACUAGAAAAAAAUUUAUCUCGAUUUACAAUCUGAUAGUACGAUAAAUGAGAACACAAUGUAUGUCGUUUGUAAUGAAGACAAACGAAACCAGUUCAUUGAGUGGAACAUUUGGAAGAAUCUGCACGCGACAAGGUUUAUCUUCCACAAUUUCACGAAAUUCCAACGUGAGCGACGUGUGUAAUUAUAGAAGUCAAGUACAAGUUCCAAAGUUUGGGAUCAAGCUAAUUCGGUAAAUUGCGAUGUAUAAUUUAUCUCAGAGUAUAAACUGUACUUAGGAAGAAGUUUAACCCUUUAAGUUACAUAGACGCAUGUAUAUAUGGACCUCCAUCGCUUUGGCAAAAUUCCAUCAUAGACUAUGUACCAAUUUGUUACCAAAAAAUAUACUUGUAUCUACUGUAUGCAAUUUCACACAGUAUUUAAAACAAUGUAUUAGCGCAAAACAUAUUUUGGAUUAUGAAAUUUAAAGUAUUCGAUAUUUCUAGAUGGAUUUGCAAUUUUUAUAAAAAUUACACAACUGGUUACGAUGAUGCAACUAACUUUUGUAAAAUAUAUGGCUAAAAUCUUCUUUUCAUUUGCCAUACAUUUCUCACGUGUUUUUCAUUUUUACCUUAUUUCUUACAAGUUCCAUUUUCUCUGGCCAUUGGCAGUGUUA
rnacentral:misc_RNA from 1 species